GAAAAAUAUCAGAUACCUAUCACAGCUAAAACUGUACUAUAUUUUUGUUACUUCAGUAACAUGAACUACAUGUGUAAUGUGUAUAAGAAGUAUAACACAAAAAAUUAACUCAGCCAAAAUGGAAGCCAGUUGAUUUGAAAUUACUUGAUAAAUUUGGUAGUCUGAGCAUAGCAAAAAUUCCAGCAGCAAGUGCAGCUAAAGAUGCUAAGGCAAAUGCCGGUAUGUUUCCUCCACCAAAUAAAGCAUCCCAAGGACCCGCACCAAGCGAUACAACCAUCUGAGGUACAACAAUUGCAAGAUUCAGGACUCCUAUUGCCAACCCUUGGCCACCACCAGCGUCAGCUGUCAACUCUGCUGUGAUAGAGAAAGGGACGCUGUAGGUUACAGCAAGAGGAAUGCCAAGAAGAGAGAAAACAACCAAAGCAGCAAUUUGAGUUGAUCGAGUAGCACCAAUUACAUGUUGGACUCCCUGCGUAUUUGCACUGAUAGAAACCACGCUAAUGAUAGCGGUGCAGGCCAUGCAGACAAAUACAAUGAAGUUGCUCACAGCCCAAACAAGUCUAGAACCAAUCCAUUUGCACAUUGGCUCAAUAAGAAAGGAGCUAACGCCAAGAACAAC
rnacentral:misc_RNA from 1 species